CCCUAACUAAGACAACACCUCUAGUCCCAGUACUCAGGAAGUUGAGGCAGAAGAUCAGGUGUUCUGGGUCAGCUUUGGCUACAUAGUGAGUUGCAGGCCAGUCAGGGCUGUAUGAGGCAGGCAGGGGUUGGGGGGAGAGGCAGGGAGAGCACAGGCAGACGAGCAGAUUCUAUUUAAACAAAACCUUAAAACAUGAGAUCAGAUACUGCGUAUGGAUAUUAUAUAUAUGACAUAUAUAAAAAUUAAUAGGAAUGAUGAACAUGAAAUAUUCAAGGGAGUUAACUAUGCUGUAAUAAGCAAAUUAAAACUAACUUUGAAAAUGAGAAAUCAGAAAGAUAACACGGCAGGGUACUCUCACCCUGAAGGAGGUGAGCAUGACCUUUGGAAUGUCAGACGGAGGGAGCCAUUUGGUGCAUAUAUAACUCCUGCGUUUGAUGAGCAGAUGAGAAAUCAUUCGGUUAACAUUCAGCUUUCUGAUGCGUUUAUAAAUAAUUCCAAUAGUAACCUUUUUCAUUGGGAAACACCUGUACGGUGCCAACUCUGAUUACUCCCUGUGGAUAUUGCUUAGCUCAAAAUUAAUAUAUCAUACUUUCAAGAAUGACAGACUGUGGGCUGGAAUAGGAGAAAACAGUAAUUUAUAAGAUGGAGUAAUUACUGGAGGAUCCAGGUACUAUUUACUGACUUUCUUCUUUGUUCUCAAGCCAACAAAAUUAUCGAGUCCACAUUCCAGAGUCCUUUAUUAGCCUUAAUCUUAGGUUGUCUAUCAAAAACAAUACUGUUGUGGAUUAAUAAACAGCACAAACCCAUAAUAAACCGCACGGGCUCUUGGUCUUCCCAGGUAAUAAGAGCGCUCAGCUGAAGCAUUAUCAAUGUGACUGACUGCAGGUCCUUUUUCCCUGGCUGCUCACUCUGGCUAGGACGGCUUCGCUCGCUGCACUACAAGCAAUAGCCACCAGGUGGCAGCAACCCCAUGACUGCCAAUGGCCGCGGAAGGAGAGGCCACCUCUCUGGCUUCUAAGCCAACCUGAAGGUUUAGCUGCAGAACCAGGGUGUCUCUAGUUCCUAACGUAGUACUGAAUGGCUUGAGUCCUGGAAUCCAGACUGGAGGAUUUGUGGGAAUAAAGGAAGAACACACACGCAGGCCCAGGUACAGGAAAGCUGGGAUCAGAUGGGGUCGGAGCCCAGAUUGGGAACCCAACGUAAGCAUUCGCAGGCAGUAAACACCCAGGAGGAAGCUUCAAUAUCCAGUCUCUGUACGUGCCGCUCGGACAUCCAUGAACAGUUAAUCUCCCGGCCUCUGAGCAGAGCUUCUCCACCGCUUGAGGCCCCCUGAGGUGAUGUAACCCACCAUCCACUUCGAAUGCUAAUGUCACAUUUAAAUACCUUUCAAAUAAAAAGGCAACAUUAAAAUUAC